UAUGUGUGGGAAUAUUGGCAAUGCUAUCUGCCCCUCCCACUCUCCUGCUGCAUGUCCCUCCCCCCACACCCACCCCCACACUUACUGCCAAUCCACCCGCCAACCCAUCCGCAAGGCUGGCUCCCAGGUCUCUUCGCCCAGGCCAUCUGUCCCAUCCUCUCCAACCUGGCUCAGGCCGCACAGGAGGCUCCUCCGCAAAGUUCCCACGUCCAGUGGCCUCACUAUCAAAGUCCCAACACCCUCUGCUAAACUGGCCUCCCGGUUCCAAUCCAUACCUGCUAUGCAGGGCCAGUUAGACCCCCUGAGACUGGGCUCUGCCUCAGUCCCUCCCACCAGAACCGGGGAUUCACAGAACGUUCAUCCUUACUCAGAAGAGCAUUGCUCCAAGACCUCCAGGCAUCAGCUCUUGAGAUUUAAAAUCAAAAUUUGGGAAGCCAGAAAGACUUUUUCUUCCAGGUCAUCACUGCCAUACACCUUUAAGAAGCGAUUUUGAAACACAAAGCCACAGACUGCUUCUGACCUCACUUUCCUUGGGCAGAAGCUUCAGCUUGGAAGGUCUACUUUUUAAGGAUAGAGGGAAUUAGGAAAUAAAUAUUGUGAUAGGCACUUUUAAAAAUGUUAUCCUUUUGCAUUUGUACUCUAACUUAAUCUUUGCAUUCCUGAGGAAAAUACAAAACUUGUCUAGCUGACUUCCCUUUCCUCCUCUUCCUUUCAAGAAAGUAAAGGAGUUUUUCUCUGUCCAGAAAAUUUAUUCUCUGAUUUAUUAUCCAAAGUUCUCCAAGGUUGGGUAAUCCUAGAGAGAGGUGUUACUCCUCUCCCAGAAGCUUGGAGUCCCUUGGGACUGCCUCACUCCCCAACCCAGCUUGCCCCACUUUCCAUGAAAUACUGGUUGAUCAAAUCUCCAGUCUUGUGGGAGGAGCAGCUGUGUUUACUUAAAGGUAACAGGGAACGUGAGCUGGUUCCUGACCCAACUCCUACCUCUCCCUCUUCCUCUGUGGAGUCACUGUCCACUCUCUGGGCCUCAGACAACUGCCUCCACAUCAGAGUGACCAUGGGCCAGCACACAACCCUCCCGGAUAUGCCACAUUUUCCACAUGCAUGUGUAUGGGUUUUAAAAUGGUAGAGAAGAUAAAUUUAUCUUUAAAAAAGAAAAAUAGGUACAUUUUCUAAAAUAUCCAUAAGCUAUUGCUCUCCAAAUGUAAAGAACUGGAAGAAUGUUGAUGAUAGCUACCUCCUUCCAGAAAAUGAGCCUCUAAAAUUAACACCACCCUGCACCUGAAGCAAGUAGGUUGCUAAUCAAUAAAUGUCCACUUGCAAUUAGGAUAACACAUAGUUCUCUGAGCUGAGAGCUAAAUUGGUAAUUGCUCUUCUGUUAUUUCCCAUGGUUAAAAAAAAAGGGGGGGGGGUGGUUGAGUAACCUGGCUUUUUGUUUCAACUUUCAUUUUCAACUUGAGAGCAAAGACAAUAGCAGAAAGCCAGGUGGACUGGGCAUCCUUCCUUUUGUCUGUCUGCUUGAAUACUUGUGUUUGGAGCAUGUGAGGGGUGGUUCCAAGUCACUUAAGAUGUGCAGCAGUCACCCCCCUCUUCACUCAGUUGGGGGGCUGUUGAUUCUGGGUGCCCCCACCAUCCUUUUAAGGCUAGUUCUUUGUGGUCCUUAUUCUGUAUGUGGUCUCUUCAGAGCAUUGAUGGUCUUGCACCUUCAGGUUUCACGGGAUCAUCUCCCGGGAGCAGGCGGAUGAGCUUCUUGGAGGCGUGGAGGGUGCCUACAUCCUUAGAGAAAGCCAGCGGCAACCAGGAUGCUACACGCUGGCUCUGAGGUUUGGAAACCAGACCUUAAACUACAGGCUCUUCCAUGACGGGAAACACUUUGUGGGUGAGAAGAGGUUUGAGUCGAUUCACGAUCUGGUGACAGAUGGCUUGAUAACACUGUACAUAGAAACAAAAGCUGCCGAGUACAUUUCAAAAAUGACAACUAACCCCAUCUAUGAACACAUUGGAUAUGCCACCCUACUCAGAGAAAAAGUAUCCAGAAGGCUGAGCAGGUCUAAAAAUGAACCAAGAAAAACAAACGUCACACAUGAAGAACACACAGCGGUGGAAAAGGUGAGCUGUGUGUGAUGGAAACAGCCUCUCUCGUUUUAAUCCAUGCCGCAUCAACAGGCGGGUUAACUAUAGGUGCGAUUUGCUGAAAUGUUGGAGGAGACCCACCCCCACCCAAAGAACUCUAGAAUGUUAGUGCUAAAGGGACCUUAGAAAUCUUCUAGCUCAGGCCGGGCACGGUGGCUCACGCCUGUAAUCCCAGCACUUUGGGAGGCCGAGGCGGGUGGAUCACGAGGUCAGGAGAUCGAGACCAUCCUGGUUAACACGGUGAAACCCCGUCUCUACAAAAAAUACAAAAAAUUAGCCGGGCGUGGUGGCGGGCACCUGUAGUCCCAGCUAUUUGGGAGGCUGAGGCAGGAGAAUGGCGUGAACCCGGGACGGGGAGCUUGCAGUGAGCCAAGAUUGUGCCACUGCACUCCAACCUGGGCAACAGAGCGAGACUCCGUCUCAAAAAAAAAAAAAAA
rnacentral:sRNA from 1 species